GGAGGUCACGGCGAGACGAGCCGUUUAUCAUUACGAUAGGUGUCAAGUGGAAGAUCGUAGUAAUGUACGCAGCAGUAAUGUACGCAGCUGAGGCAUCCUAACAGACCGGUAGACUUGAAC
rnacentral:rRNA from 6 species